rnacentral:ncRNA from 14 species
AUGCCCGAGUGGUUAAUGGGGGCGGAUUGUAAAUCCGCUGGCUAACGCCUACGCUGGUUCAAAUCCAGCUCGGCC